GGAGUUGUGGCUCAGUGGUAAAGCACUCACCUGGCACAUGAGAGGCACAGGGUUCAAUCCUCAGCACCA
rnacentral:tRNA from 1 species